rnacentral:rRNA from 1 species
UACGUAGGGCGCAAGCGUUGUCCGGAAUUAUUGGGCGUAAAGAGCUCGUAGGCGGCUUGUCACGUCGGGUGUGAAAGCCCGGGGCUUAACCCCGGGUCUGCAUUCGAUACGGGCUAGCUAGAGUGUGGUAGGGGAGAUCGGAAUUCCUGGUGUAGCGGUGAAAUGCGCAGAUAUCAGGAGGAACACCGGUGGCGAAGGCAGGUCUCUGGGCAUUAACUGACGCUGAGGAGCGAAAGCAUGGGGAGCGAACAGG